GACGAACGCUGGCGGCGUGCUUAACACACGCAAGUCGAACGAUGAAGCCGGAGCUUGCUCUGGUGAAUUAGUGGCGAACGGGUGAGUAACACGUGAGUAACCUGCCCUUGACUCUGGGAUAACUGCUAGAAACGGUAGCUAAUACCGGAUACGACCCUCGGCGGCAUCGCCAGGGGGUGGAAAGAAUUUCGGUCAAGGAUGGACUCGCGGCCUAUCAGCUAGUUGGUGAGGUAACGGCUCACCAAGGCGACGACGGGUAGCCGGCCUGAGAGGGUGACCGGCCACACUGGGACUGAGACACGGCCCAGACUCCUACGGGAGGCAGCAGUGGGGAAUAUUGCACAAUGGGCGCAAGCCUGAUGCAGCAACGCCGCGUGAGGGAUGACGGCCUUCGGGUUGUAAACCUCUUUUAGUAGGGAAGAAGCGAAAGUGACGGUACCUGCAGAAAAAGCACCGGCUAACUACGUGCCAGCCGCCGCAGUAA
rnacentral:rRNA from 1 species